rnacentral:rRNA from 1 species
GACGUAGGGGGCGAGCGUUGUCCGGAUUCAUUGGGCGUAAAGCGCGCGUAGGCGGCCCGGUAAGUCGGAUGUGAAAUCUCACGGCUCAACCGUGGAACUGCAUUCGAAACUGUCGGGCUAGAGGCAGGUAGGGGAGAUCGGAAUUCCCGGUGUAGCGGUGAAAUGCGCAGAUAUCGGGAAGAACACCCGUGGCGAAGGCGGUUCUCUGGGACGGUACUGACGCUGAGACGCGAAAGCGUGGGGAGCGAACAGG